AGGGGGCGGAGAGGACAGCUUGGGCUCCGGCGGGCAGAGUGACGGUGGCAGAACCUGCGAGCUAGGUGGGCUGUUCGCCAGCUGCGACCAAGGGAAACAAGAACUGCUGCUGCGGUCGAGCGAGGAGGCGAGCGGAGUCCGGGAGUCUCAUCGCUGCCGCCUCCCGCUCCCGCAGGCGGAGAGCGCGUACCAGCAGGCGCACCGGCUGCUGCUGCGACCCUACGCACAGGGUAAAGGAGCUACCUGUAUUAAAGGAAGACCUUGGGGCGCUCUUCCUUCACGGUCAAAUCGGGGAGUUGGGCAUUGCGAGGAAAAUAGCCCGCCACACUGCUUUUCCGAUUGAACAAAGAUCCAGCUCAGGUGGCGGUGUAGAAUCCAAAAACGCGAGCUUCCAGAUAUGGUUGCUGAAAAACAAGAGUUGAAUGUACCGGAGGGAGCAAGCACAAGAAUCUGAAAAACCGCAGGCAUACCGAGUUGCCUACCGACCAAAGUGAGGACCGGUUAUGUCCUGACCAGAGUGAUAAACAAGUUUGUAAAGUUAUUCCCUGUGACACAAUUCAAGAUAAUUUGCUGCUGAUUACCAUUA